UGUGGCUCAGUGGUAGAGUGCUUGUCUGGCAUGCAUGAGGUCCUGGGUUUGAUUCCCAGCA
rnacentral:tRNA from 1 species